rnacentral:RNase_P_RNA from 14 species
GGCGGCGGGAAGCUCAGCGGUGGGGCCACGCGCGGAGUGCGCGUCACUCUCCCGGCCCCUGGGAAGGUCUGAGACUUGGGCCAGCUGCGGCCCUAGCAGGGCCCUCCCCGCGCGCGGGGGGGUGAGUUCCCAGAGAGCGGGCCCCGGCGAGGGCCUUCGGGCAGGAGAGGCCGCGGGCGCGGCGGAUGCCCCCUCCCCGGGGCUUGGAAUAGACUCACGGCCGGCACGGUGAGUUCAAUGGCUGGGCCGGGGCACCCGUGCUGGCCGGGCAUCGGGCCGCGGGGCUCCGGAACCCAAUUCAGACUACUCUCCCCCGCC